AAUAUUGCGCAAUGGAGGGAACUCUGACGCAGCGACGCCGCGUGAGCGAUGAAGGUCUUCGGAUCGUAAAGCUCUGUCCUUGGGGAAGAAGGGAGCCGUAAGGCUUCUUGACGGUACCCAGGGAGGACGCCACGGCUAACGACGGUCCAGCAGCCGCGGUAAGACGUAGGGGGCAAGCGUUGUCCGGAAUUAUUGGGCGUAAAGGGUGCGUAGGCGGCCUUUUAAGUCAGAUGUGAAAGCCCACGGCUUAACCGUGGGACUGCAUUUGAAACUGGAGGGCUUGAGUAUCGGAGAGGGUAGUGGAAAUCCCAGUGUAGCGGUGGAAUGCGUAGAUAUUGGGAGGAACACCAGUGGCGAAGGCGACUACCUGGACGAAAACUGACGCUGAGGCACGAAAGCUAGGGGAGCAAACA
rnacentral:rRNA from 1 species